rnacentral:lncRNA from 1 species
GUAUACCUUGAUCAUUUGGUAUGUUUAGCUCAUUUUUCCUAUUCACAGUUUAACAAAUUGAACUAACUAGUCUAAAUGCAAAUAACCUAAAAUUGUUUAUUCUCAGGUUAGAUUUACAAUUUAAAGAAAUAACCUUUUUGCAUGCUUCUAACCAAUAACUUAUAUUUCUACAAGCUCGAGCUCCAACAAGCACACAAGAAAAAAAAUGAAGUAAAAAUUACUAAAAAUAAAACAAAAAUAGUAGCAAAAAUGUAAAAAUUUUAUGUCAC